AAAUUGAAGAGUUUGAUCAUGGCUCAGAUUGAACGCUGGCGGCAGGCCUAACACAUGCAAGUCGAACGGUAACAGAAAGCAGCUUGCUGCUUUGCUGACGAGUGGCGGACGGGUGAGUAAUGUCUGGGAAACUGCCUGAUGGAGGGGGAUAACUACUGGAAACGGUAGCUAAUACCGCAUAACGUCGCAAGACCAAAGAGGGGGACCUUCGGGCCUCUUGCCAUCGGAUGUGCCCAGAUGGGAUUAGCUUGUUGGUGGGGUAACGGCUCACCAAGGCGACGAUCUCUAGCUGGUCUGAGAGGAUGACCAGCCACACUGGAACUGAGACACGGUCCAGACUCCUACGGGAGGCAGCAGUGGGGAAUAUUGCACAAUGGGCGCAAGCCUGAUGCAGCCAUGCCGCGUGUAUGAAGAAGGCCUUCGGGUUGUAAAGUACUUUCAGCGGGGAGGAAGGGAGUAAAGUUAAUACCUUUGCUCAUUGACGUUACCCGCAGAAGAAGCACCGGCUAACUCCGUGCCAGCAGCCGCGGUAAUACGGAGGGUGCAAGCGUUAAUCGGAAUUACUGGGCGUAAAGCGCACGCAGGCGGUUUGUUAAGUCAGAUGUGAAAUCCCCGGGCUCAACCUGGGAACUGCAUCUGAUACUGGCAAGCUUGAGUCUCGUAGAGGGGGGUAGAAUUCCAGGUGUAGCGGUGAAAUGC
rnacentral:rRNA from 1 species